rnacentral:lncRNA from 1 species
UUUUUUUUUUUGUUUUUUGUUUUUAUCGACAUAGUGGAGAUCUUUGCUGCGUUAUGAUAACUGACAAGACACGAGUCAUUUCGUUUGAAGCUCGGAAGAGCAUAACAUCUUCCAUUGCAAGAUGAUGAGGAGAGGAUCAUUCCUCUAUCUCCUAGUGCACAAGAGCACUCUGUCUAGGUAGGUGUACAGUUGAUUAAUAAAAACUGUUAACGUUUUGGAGGAAAAAAAAAGAUUAAUUCAGAGAGCCUAACAAGUCACAACAAUGAUGCUUUUUCUUUUUUUUUUUUUUUGGGACAAAACUGAAUUAUCACCCCAUAUAAAACAAAAAAAAAAGAUAAUUAGCCUUGUUAUUUAAAAAAAAAAAAUCUGUAAAAUUCUUUGAACCCCCAAAAAAAAAAGGGUCAUUAGAAAGAACAAAACUCUUUCCCGAUGGGAUGAGAAAUGGAGAAACAGAUUAGUAACUAUUGAUGCAUUGCAGACCAUGUUCAUUAUUUUAUUUACACAUAUCGAAGAUGAUGAUAGAAUUUAACUAUAUUGAUGCUCUAAUAAUGAGACGUCAACUAGCCUAAAAAUAUCCGUACCUUGCUAGCUAGCAGAGGAUUAAAAAAAUAGCAAAUUUCCAAACUGAUAAAAAUGAUACUCCACAAAAUAUUUAUUACAUUAUCUUUGCACUCUUUUUUCACGAGGAGUAAUUUUUUUUUUUUUUUUUUUUGCAUGAGUUGGAGAUAUAUUUAUUUGAAAUUCUCAGGAUAUAUAUUUUAUAUUUGACAUAAUUUCAGACGGGCUCAUAGAAACAAAAUCUGUACUUUUUUGUACAUAAAAAUAACGGAAAAAAAGAUCCACCCAAAUUAUUUAUAUCUGACAACUUUUUUCUGCUUUAUUGCGUGGACCAAGUGUAACAGAACAUUUAGAUUCCGUUUACAGGCCUCGGCCUAUGAACUGUUGAACAACCCAUUCCCAAACAUGGGCCCAUCUUUGAAAGUAACCCAAGGGACCAAAAAAAGGUUCUUCUGAUACGAAUUAUAUCUCCCAGUCCCACCAAAAGGAUGAUGAUAAAAAUAAUUAGAGUGAAUCUUCGUGCUAAAAAAGAAAAAUUCUACUCUAACUGACAUAUAAUUGUUGUGAAGUUGAUAUCAAAUUAGGAAAUUUUCACUUGAUACAUUCUAACGUUCACAAGGAAAAUCGGGGAUAUUUGUGUCCAAAAUAGAUUUCUUUGUCAUGGCACAAGGAAAUGGCCUCAUUUGCCUUGGCGAGAUUAAUAUCUUUCCCAACUUUUAACUUGUUAUAGUGCACGGUAUAUCCUUCCUGCACACAUGAUGCUGCGCUCCAUAAUUCAGCUGACAAGCAUGUCGGAUGCCCAAUUUUAUCUUCUUUCUUUUUUUUUUUUUUUUUUUUUUUUUUUUGUUGCUGCAGAAGGAGAAGCCUAAAGAAGCUGUACAAAAGAGACUAGCAUAUUUAUGGCUCGAUUAGAUCAAAAGGGUGUUCUAACACUUUUUUGGAUUUUUUCACUGUAGAUGGGGUUCGAACUCCUGACCUACGGUCUAAAGAGAGAUUUAAUCCCUUUUUGGUGGUCACUGAGCCAAACCUCGGUGGUUCCAAUUUUACUUGCCUAUAGCAAGCGUAGAUUCUGGUUGCAGAAUUCAUGGAGGCUUAUUACAUAUUCUCCCACAGUCUUGGUAUCAAACUGAACUUCACGUACUAGUACUAUUAGCAAAUUCAUGUUGUUAUACAUAUAUUGUUGGUAUAUAUAUUUAGCUAAAGAAAAAGUUGCACAGGACAUAAAUAUGUGAAAUAACUAGCAACAUCAUAAACAUGAAAUCUAAGAAAAUAUUCAAUAACGCAUAAAUUAGUUUUGCUGAUGACAAAAAGAGUUUCAAUUUCAAAAAAAAAAAAUUAAUUCUUGGAAAAUUGAAAAUUUUGAAAUGAGAGGGUAUUAAACGAGGCCCAAUUUCCAUUUGGUUGGUUGGCUGGCUUUUAAUGGGUUCACAAGAAAACAGGGCUGAUCCUAUUUCCAGGUGGGCGCGGAGUUCGGAAACGGAAAUUGUAUAUUAAUUCAAUGAGCAAAAACUAGCCGUUGCCCGGGUACUUUCCCAAAAUUACAAACCAAAAACAAAGAACAAAAACCCCUUUCCGUAGAUGUCUCAGGAGUUCUAUCCCUUCCCAUUUCUUUAUCAGAAGCCCCUGAGAUUGUUCGUCCAAGGCAACAUACCCAGACCCACAUGCCGUACUAUUCUUGAACGCUAUUUUAUGAGAUCUGGAGGCUUUUCUUUCUCUUUCCAUUUUCAAGAACUUGGUGGGCUAACUCCAAUUGUAAGUCAAUUUCAUUGAAAAGGAAAUUUCUUCUUCUUUUUCUUGAUCAGGAUUUCAUUUCCCGUUGUGGGUUUUUUUAAAAUAGUUGAUAUUUCAGUCACUGCGUAUUUUUUCUAAUUUUGGUUUACUUGCGAAAAUGCUUACUGUCUUUAGUGUGUUUGAGGGUUUAGCGAUUUUUAUUUUGCAAAGAGAUUUUCAUGUUUCUUAUUUUUUGUUGCUUAAUCUCUUUAAAAAAGAAUAAAACUGUAGUUUAAACUUUCUUGGUUCUUUCGUUUCUACAUCCUUGAACAAUUUUUUUGUUAUUUUUCUUUAAUAAUGAUUUUGGUAUGAGCACUGCAUAUAUAUAAUUUAGUGUUAUGCUUACAUUUCUGAGUAAUUUUUUUGUGAGUCAAUUGAUUAUUAUAGUCUCCAACGUGCAUUUUUCUGUUAAUUAAGUAAGGGAAUUUGUGAACAGAACGCUUGAAUAUGAGAAUUGGGACCCCAAUAACGACGCCAUCUUCAAAGACCAGGAGGACUCCUUCAUGUACGCCUGGCGGUGGUCCAAAAGCUCAGGAAGAGAAGAUACUUGUGACUGUUAGGGUGAGGCCACUUAGUCCCAAAGAGCAAGCUGCAUAUGAUCUUAUUGCUUGGGAAUUCAGUGAUGAACAUACGAUCAUUUCAAAGAAUUUGACUCAUGAGAGACCUACUGGGCCAUAUACUUUUGGUAUGGAAACCGAUGUGGAUGAGAUAUGUUGAUGAUAUAUUUGUGCUUGAAGUUCUGGAUAUUAAUGAAUUUGCUGUUAAACUUAUGGCAGAUAAAGUGUUUGAUCCGUCCUGUUCGAAUCAGAAAGUUUACGAGGAAGGUGCUAGAGAUGUUGCUCUCUCAGUUCUAAGUGGAAUUAAUGGUAAUAGGGAUUGUUAAGUUUAAUUCAGUAUCUUGAAUGUUGUUGAAUUGCUAGAUUCCAGAGUCAACUUUCCAUUGCCGAUCUUCGGAAAAAGCACUUCAUCGGUUAAAAAAAAAAACCCAAAAUUGUCUUUGGACAAUGCUGAGCAUGUGUGCAUAUAAAGAUAUGUGCAUGGAUGUCUAUAAUGAAAAGGAGACGAAGGCUCGUACAAGAUACUUUUGAUUGCUAACUUUGGGUUGAGAGUUAGUGAUGUUGUUGUUUAAGAACAAGAUGCCCUUUGAUAGGAAAUUUAAAAUCCAAAGACUAUGGAGUUUUAACGUUUUAGAUUUCACAUUUAGAAGUCUUUUAUGCUCCUCUUGAUUCUCAGUCAAUGAGGAUCUGAAGAUGAUAAUGAAAAUCUUUCUCUCUCUCUCAGCUUAGACCUGGGAACUGAACUCUUACCAUCCUGAACAAAGAUAUGGAAUUAACAAAAGGUAGAAAAUGGAAAUAGAAGAAAAAAGGGCAGGAACACUUUAAAAGUUAAUGACAGCUGCAGACCUUAAAACACCAAGAAAAUGACUUGAUUCUGUUUUGUGUUUUCAGAGUUGAUGCACCUGUUGAAGUCUUGCUAUUGUACUUUGCUGGAGCAAAACAAUGUUGUCAUAGUUUCAUCUGUUGAAAGCUGUAGUUUUGCCCAUGUUGUUAUGCUUGGUUCUAUAAGUUAUGCAUUUAAUAAAAUCUGGCUUUUAUCUUGCAGCAACAAUAUUUGCAUAUGGGCAGACCAGUAGCGGGAAGACAUUUACCAUGAGGGGAAUAACAGAAAAUGCCAUUAAGGACAUUUACGAGCAUAUCAGCGUUGUAAGCUAUUCUUCCUUCACCAAAAUCUGAAGCAGCAUUUUGUAAUAAUGCAUGGUGUAGCUUUAGAAAUUUUCCUGUAAAGCAUUUUGUUGAAGGUGAAUUCCUAUGUGGCAUAUUCUGACUAAAUAGUUUAUUUCACCCUCCAGACGCCAGAAAGAGAGUUUGUGCUUAAGUUUUCUGCUCUUGAAAUCUAUAACGAGACUGUGGUAGAUCUCCUAAACCGCGAUUCUGGCUCCCUGAGGCUUUUAGACGAUCCUGAGGUAAACAAGUUGUUUUUAGAUAACAGAACUUGUUGAAUUUGUUUUUUCCUUGAUCUCAUACAUUCAAUAUUAAUCUCUUAAAACAAGUUUAAAUUGUUCCUUUUUUUAUUCCAUCUAAACAGAAGGGCACUAUUGUAGAGAAACAAAUUGAGGAAGCUGUAAAGGAUGCCCAACACUUGAGGCACUUAAUUGCUAUUUGUGAAGGUAGGAGAUUCUGCUGUACUCAUACUGAAUAGCCUGUCAUAUGACUGGUGCUACAUGUGUGGAAAUACUCUUGCUUCUUUCCCUUGAUGAUCUUGACGCUCUUAGCAUGUCAUUUUCUCCUUGAUCACCAACAUUGCUAGUAAGCACAAACUAUUACUAUGCCUGAUCUGAAUUCUGCAUUGGCAAACUGUGUUCACUUGCAGCUCAGAGACAGGUAGGAGAAACUGCCUUGAAUGAUAAAAGCUCAAGAUCACAUCAGAUAAUCAAGCUGGUAAGGAGAAUUUAGUAAUUUGGGAUGCUAUUUUACCACUGUUAUCUUGAUUUUUCUAUUGUUAACUUCUGAGUUGUCAGUUACGUUCGCCAGUAUUAGCAUUGCUUCUACUUAGCAGAGACAGAAAUGUCAUCCUCUAAAACCCCCUUUCUGAAUAAAUAAAUUUUGUAGUUGACUUCUCUUUACUAGUAAAGCAAGAGCAUUCUUGCUUACCUGGUUUUCAGUGGAAGGAUAUACUUUUCUUCCAUUAAAAACUCAAUUUUGUAGUACCCCUUCAAUACUGGUGAAAUCUCUUGAGAAUUCAUUUUUUUCUCUCGUGAAUCUAGUGAUGAUCAGUAUUCUUUCAUAUUUUAAAAGCCUCAGCCCUCUUUACAAAUUCUUUUUAGAUAUUCACAAUGUGGUUGGUCUGUACUAGUUCUUUCUAGUUCGAGACUUCCCUUUUUAUUGGUUUGUGGGAUUGCAUGUUCUCAAACUAAUCCAUCAACCUCUCAAAAUUUUACAUUAUUUGUAUUAUACUGUUUCAUGUGGUAGGAUGUCUUUUUCUCGUGUGUGACCUGUUAAAUAAAGUUUGAUUGAGUAUCUGUCAUGGUUGUGAUGUCUAAUCCAAUACUCUUUGAUAUCCAGACAAUUGAGAGUAGUCUUCAGGAAAGUACUGGAUCCUUGAGAUCUUUUUUAGCAAGUCUGGUAUGCAUCUCUUUCCCUUGAUUCGGAACUUUCUUUGGGGUAUAUCGCUGCACAUAUCUCACUUCAAACUCUUUUUCCUUGCAGUAUCUAGUUGAUCUUGCUGGAAGUGAACGUGCUUCUCAAACAAAUGCAGAUGGUACAAGGUUCAAGGAAGGGAGCCAUAUUAAUAGAAGCCUGCUGACUUUGACAACUGUAAUUAGAAAGCUAAGGUAGCAGCUCAGGGAUAGGAAAUACUGGUAGUUUAGCCUUUUGAUUUGAAAGUUCUCUGUAUGAUCUUGUUGGUUAGCUGAUAAGAGUUUUUCAAACAUAUCAAGCUAUUUCUCUUGCUGAUAUGAUGAGUCUAGGCAUUCUUUUAUGCUGAUUUUAGAAUCAUUAGAGCUAGAUAAGUACAAAGGCAACAAAUGAAUAUAAUCUUUUAUUUUGCUAUGUGCAGUGGUGGCAAGAGGAUUGGUCACAUCCCAUACAGGGAUUCAAAACUCACAAGAAUAUUACAGUCUUCAGUUGGGGGAAAUGCACGAACAGCAAUAAUUUGUACAAUGAGUCCUGCUCUGGGUCAUGUGGAGCAAUCACGGAAUACACUCUCCUUUGCGACAAGUGCAAAAGAAGUUACAAAUAAUGCACAUGUGAAUCUGGUAUGUUAGCAAAAAAUUUUGGUUUAAAUGAUUCACCACUGUGUUGCAUAUUAUGACGUUGUUUGUUUGUCAAAUAUGGUCAAAAGUUUGUAAAACUUCCACUAAAAGAAUGACUUGUUACUAAACAGAAUUUCAUGGUUUAACCAAUUGCUUACAAAAGGAACAUUUUUCAAUUUUGACGAGGCAGUAUUAUCAAAAUUGUCCCAACUUCUUGUGGAAUCUAAUUCUACUCCGGAUGGAAACCUUGAAUUUGAAUAACUGAUCACAUGGAUUUCACUGUGUAUUUCUUAUCAUUUUUUCCAGCAGGAUCUAACCAUGCCAGCUCAAGUUUAUUUUGAUCAAUGAAAUGAAGUAGAAAUAAGUAGGUUCUUCUAUCUUCAAAAACUGAAUUCUUAUAACACGAACUGAAAGUGCAACUUCCAAUGAAAAUAUUAAAUAGAUAAAUGAACUUUCAGCUUUACCAUGUUAGAUAUCUAAUUGGAGUGGGAAUAUUUACCCUAAGGACUGAGUUUGACUUAUUUACUUUGUUAAUUGGACUCUUGAGUUUGGUUUGAUUGGCUGCAAAGGAAAUGCAGAUGGCCACACUCUUAUGAACUAAUAUAUUACACUAGAAAACUUGGGGAUGAAUUAGUUCAGUUGACAAACUGAAAUAUCUUGAAAAGUCACAGCCUAUUCUGGUAUUAUGCCUUCUGUAUAUCAAUAUCAUUUCAUGGAUAUUCUCUUUCAUCUUUGCACUAUUCUAGUACACUAUUGGAUACUCUCUUCUGUAUAUCAAUACCUUUGUACUAUUCUCUUUCAUGGAUAUCAAUAUCCUUUCAUGGAUAUUCUUGUUCAUCUUUGCACUAUUCUAGUACACUAUUGGAAAGUUGGGGACGAUUAGUCCAUUUGCUAAACUGAAAUAUCUUGAAAAUUCACGGACCAUUCUAGCAUUAUGCCUUCUGUAAAUGAAGAUUCUUUCAUGCAUACUCUCUUUAUCUUGCUGAGUAGAAGGAUUGUUUGCACUGCUGGGAAGCGUGGCAUAUUUAUUUGGUUCAAGCACAAUGAGCCAUCAAUAUGAUAAAAGUCCUUAGUUUGAAAUUUAUUUCCACUUUUCUAGGUUGUUGCAGAAAAACAAUUAUUGAAGCAUUUGAAGAAGGAGGUGGCAAGACUUGAAGCAGAGCUCCGAAGUCCUGAACCAUGUGGCUCCUCGUCUUUAAGGUCCUUACUAAUUGAGAAGGAAAUGAAAAUCCAGCAGGUAGACUACAAAGAGCUCUUUGGGUAGAUGUUAAUGCUAAGUGUGCAGUAAACCAAGACACUUUCAGAUGGUUUUUGGUCAAAUUAUUGUUUCACUUCUGUUUCUCAGAUUGAUUGCAUGACACCCAAUGUUAGUGGUGCAUUUAGGAAUGUGCUAUAUACAUACACUUGAAUGAAGGCACAAGUUUUAAUAGCAAAAGUUUUAAAUGCAGAUGGAGAUAGAAAUGAAUGAGCUGAAACGCCAAAGGGACAUUGCAGAAUCCCAGCUUGAAUUAGAAAGAAAAGCACACAAGGAACCAAAGGGAUCAAAUCAGCACGGUCCGUCUCGUCGUGUAGUUAAAUGUCUUUCUUAUACUUCUGAGAACGAGUCAGUUUCUGGAGGGCCUCUUCCAAAAAUCCAGCCCAGGAACUUAACUGGAAGGCAAUCACUGGUUAGACAGUCAGCUACUUCUUCAUCCAUGCUGGUGCAUGAGAUUCGAAAAAUUGAGAUGAGCCAGAGGCAGCUUGGUGAGGAAGCGAACCGUGCACUUGAUUUACUUCACAAGGAGGUUGCUUCUCACAGAAUUGGUAGUCAAGAUGCUAAUGAAGCUCUGGCAAAGCUGCUUGUAGAAAUUAAGGAGAUGCAGGCUAUCGGUUUAGUUCCCGAAACUAUUGAGAUUAAAGACAAAGGUAGCUUGAAAGAAGAGAUUGCCCGAUUGAACACUCAGGAGACUAAUAUUGCAUCUCUAGAAGAAAAGCUUGAGAAUGUUCAGAGAUCCCUAGAUAAAUUAGUGACGUGUUUUCCAAGUGGAAAGGGGACUCCUGAUUUGAGGACUUCAGCCAAAAAGAAAAAAGGUCUUCCAUUUACACUGAGCAAUUCACCUAACAUGCCAAACAUGAUAAGAUCUCCAUGCUCACCUGUGGAACCAGGGAUUGAAAAUAGAGCCCCAGAGGCUAACAAUCUUUCAUCUGGUAGUGAUGGCUUCUACCUUCGAGAGAGCACUCCUCGUAGAAAUCACGAAGCUAACAAUAUCUCAUCAGCAGAGACUACCCCUGCACCAAAGCAUUCAACCUCUGUUGGUGUGAAGAAAAUGGAAAAGAUGUUCAAGAAAGCGACUGAGGAGCACAUCCGGAGUAUACGAACUUACGUCACAGGGCUUAAAGAACGUGUCGCAAAGCUGCAAUACCAGAAACAGCUUCUGGUUUGCCAGGUAAGAUUUAUUAACUUCAGGCUGUUCUUCUUCUCUUUUGGUUAAAUGAGGUUCUUAUUUAUAUGAACUUAAGAGCGGCGGAAAAUGACUCAACUGGUAUGAGAACAUGUUGAACCAUUCAACUUCCCAUUUCUUGUUUAUACAUAAACAUGGAUAUAUUAGGAUAAAGCUGGUAAUGAUAAAAGUACUUGAGUUUGAAAUGGUCUGCCAUGAAAUUUUAUUGUAUCAUAAUGUUGUAUGGGCUUGAGAAAAAAGCAAGCCUUUAAUAGCUGCGGGCACGUGGUGUAUUUUGUUUUUCAGUUGUUCUUUGAACAAAUGUUUGGUACCAUUUUAAUAUCAUUGGCAGCAGCAUCUGCCAUAAGUAUUAGUAUCUGAGCUUUGGAAUCUGAAUCAUUUUUCUCCGCUCCCAGUCUCUUUCUUUUGGGUAUUGCAUUCUUCACUGAAUGAGUUUCUUAUCUUUCUAUGGUCACUUUUUACCAUAUUUGUAUUAGGUGUUAGAGCUGGAGGCAAAUGAAGCUGCAUCUGAUGGACCCGAUAAUAUUGAAGAAUCUAGCAUCUCAUGGCAAUCAAUGUUUGAAGAACGAAGGAAGCAAAUUGUCAUGUUGUGGCAUUUAUGCCAUGUGUCAAUCAUACACCGCACUCAAUUUUAUUUGCUGUUUAAAGGGGAUCCUUCAGAUCAGAUAUAUAUGGAAGUUGAACUUAGAAGGUUGACAUGGUUGGAGCAGCAUUUGGCAGAUCUUGGUAAUGCAAGUCCAGCACUUUUAGGUGAUGAUCCUGCAAGCUUUGUGUCAUCAAGGUAUGUUAGAAGCGUUUCAGAUUGACUACUAUACAUGCGGGCAUGCAAGUGGUGUAGUUUUAUACCUUUUCUAGUUGAUUUUUUCUUGUCUAAGUGCUCUAUUACUUGCUUUGAAAUGCAGCAUCAAGGCCCUUAAGCAAGAGAGGGAAUAUCUAGCAAAGAGGGUGAGUACAAAGCUGACUCCAGAAGAAAGGGAAAUGCUAUACUUGAAAUGGAACAUCCCACCAGAAGGGAAAGGCAAAACAAAGAGGAGGCUGCAACUUGUAAAUAAACUGUGGAUGGACCCUCUGAAUAUGCAACAUAUAAAGGAAAGUGCUGAAAUUGUUGCAAAACUCGUGGGGUUCUGCGAAACUGGUGAGCAUGUCUCCAAGGAGAUGUUUGAGCUCAAUUUUGUCUCCCCUUGUGACAAAAAGACUUGGAUCGGUUGGAACUUGAUAUCCAAUCUCUUGCACUUGUAAUCACCAACCUGUUAUUAGUGCUUCGAAUUCCACUCAAGUUUCUGAGAUCAUAGCUCUGACCAACCGUUUGUAUAGAAUGUCUGCCUGUCUAUCUGUCUGUAUGGUCUUAACUCCAGCUUUUGUAGCGGUAACAGUUCAAAAUAGAUGAAUGAAGAAAGCCCGUUUCCAGAACAGAAACGAGUGCUUGAAAAAUGCCCGUUUUUCUUCUUUUCUUGGGCUCAAGUGUCUGUUUUUUGUGGAAUGAUCAUCACAUAGUUGAGCCUUCAAGUGACUUUACUCCCAAGUACGGGAUAGCUCCAGAUGUUGUUUGGACUCUGGACUAAAGAGUUCCUUGACAGCGCAAAGGCGUGAAGAUGAUGUGCUGCUUUGCCUGGUUAAACCAGUAAAAAAAACCAUGACCUGAAAAGAGGCGCAUCUCCUUUCAAAUGAGGGACAAUAAUGUCUACUGGAAUAAAAAAGGGGGAAGAAAAAAAAAAAAAUAUAUAUAUAUAUAUAUAGUUGUCCCCACUCAUAAAAAAUGUGAGCUAUAAGACAUGGUUAAACAAUUAAGAUUCAAAAACUCGUUUGAAGGUGUCAUUUGUUCAUAAACUUGGAAUGUGUGUAAUUAUAAAAUUAGAUGUUUAAUCGAUUAAUCAAUUAUUGAUCAUACAACUCACUGAUAAAGGGUAAACCAAAACUAAUCUUAUCUAUAAUAAUUUACUACUAAUCUUUUUUCAGUACUGGAAUAUAUUCAAUAUUCAUCCUCCUUUUUUUUUGUUUGUUUUGUAGAGAAAAAGAAAGUAAAAAAAAAAAAGAAAAGAAGAAGAGAGACGCAGUAUAUAUUGGAAAAAAGUGAAGGGCAAAUGAGUCUUUUCAGCAAGUUAAAUAUGUCCCCAGUGUUAUGUUAUCAGCAGCUGCCCUAAAACCUCUUGAACGCUACCCGCAGUGCAAACUUCGGACGUAAGAUUACCUGCUGAACUACGUCGUAUUAUACACCUCCUCCGACCAUCUUGAUAUUUCAUGGGAAGAGAAAUUAGCAGCGGCGGACAAAAAUCCUCCUCUUCGUCGUCGGCGGGGAUGUCGUACACGGUGGAGCAGCUCGUCGCCGUCAAUCCUUACAACCCUGACAUUCUCCCCGAUCUCGAAAACUUCGUCAAUGAGCAGGUUCUCCUUUUUUUCUUUUGGUUUUCUGAUGAUGAUGAAUAAGGGAAAAAAAUUCUUAUCUUUAUUUAAUCCAAUAACUAAGGUUUAUUUUGAAUGUUGAAACUAUAAAAACAUGUAUUUUUAGGUAUCUUCCCAAACGUACAACUUGGAUGCUAACCUCUGCCUUCUCCGCCUCUAUCAGGUUAGCCUACCGCUGCAAUUGGUCUUUAAUAUUUGAUUUUUAUAUUGUAAUAAUGCUGAAGUGAUUUUAGAAUCAUGAAAAAUGAACUACUUUUAAUGUUAUUAAAAACGGUUUCUUUUUUGCGGAUUUUGUAGUUUGAGCCGGAGCGAAUGAGUACUCAGAUUGUUGCUCGCAUUUUGGUUAAGGUAAAAAAAAGUUAGAAAACUAUUAACCUUUUGUUUUAUUUCAAAUUUCAUAGUUUUGGUCAACUAAUCAUUUAUCUAAUAUCGUUGAACUUUGUAAUAAUGAACAGGCACUUAUGGCAAUGCCGGCUCCUGAUUUCAGCCUUUGUCUCUUCUUAAUUCCUGAGCGAGUGGUACCUUUUGAUAGACUUUAUCUUUUUUUUUUUUUUGGCACGUUCUUUUUCUUUUUGCAACUUUGUCGAGUUGGGAAAGAGAAUAUGGAAGCUGUUGUAAACAAUGUUAAUGUUGGUUUCUUUUUAUUCUUUGGGUUUAUGAAAGUAGUCAUUCUCUUAUUGCUGUAUGAAGGAAUUGUGUUGAUUGGAAGAAGGUCACGUGUCAAAAGUAAUCGGGAAAAGUUGAAGCUUUACAAUUAUGAGAAAGUCUUCCAAUUAAAAUUUUAUUUUCUGGUGUACUUUUGAGUUUUUGUUGUUCCAGCUAAAUAUUUGGUUUACAAGUUACUUUCAAGUCGGUUCUAGUUCUUCCUUUUGUGAGAUCUAGUGAGGCAAGUUUAUCUUAGCUCGUUUGUUCCAGUUCUCUUUGCUGUUAAUUUGCUCUGUAAUCUUUUGUUUAUUGUUGUAUUAUUCCAUUGAUACCUGGGUUGUCUACUUAUCAUGUGCAGCCAAGGCAUUUCCCAUCAUGUACAGGGAUUGUCCACUUAUUCAAAGUUCUAGUUGAAACUUGUUUCAAUCAAAUGGUUCAGUGAACAAUGAGAAAAUCGACUAGUAAGAAACAAAAGAAUUAUAUCAGUGUUAAGGCCCUUAAACAUAAGAAGAUGCUUCAAUAAUUGUAAAGUUAGGAUGGUAGCAUCUUAUGUUGCUCCUCGUUUUGAAGUGGGACGGUUAGUCUUGAUGAUUGAAAUGAGAAGCUUUUGCUUGUAUCUCUGCGUGGUUGGAUGGAUGGUCCUGGGGUAUAUGUUGGGGUUAAGUGGGAGGGAAGGGGUUUAGGCUGAGUGGCUCCGUGCAGAUGAGUUUAAUUGGGACUUUCUUGCUUAACAAUGCAAACUAAUUUGGCUUCUAGGUGGACAAUUUCCACUUGAAACUGCUAGGUGCCAAUUUCGUGGGGAGGUUAGAAAAUCUCUAUUACGUGAUCUUGGCUUGGUAUGCUAGUAGCUAAGAUUGUUAUAUAAAUCUCCUGUAGCUGGCAGGCUUUGAACAGCCCUUUUAUUUAGGAAAUCGUGGCAUACGCCUUUUGCAGCACAUUUGUGGUCAAACUUUGUUGAAGAAAUUAGUAAUUGAAUAAAAUACUUGUCAUCGGAAUUAUUUCAGGCUCUUUAUGCAGGAGUCUAAACUAUGCAUGAGGUGGUUGCUGUUCUGGAAAUAGACUAUCUUUUUCUAAACAGUUUUAUUUGAUCAUCAACUCAUCUCAUCUGAAUUGGCAGCAAAUGGAGGAACAGUUCAAGACGUUAAUUGUGCUUUCGCACUAUUUGGAGGUACACUUUUACCUCAGACCCUGGCAUAUAUUUUUUAUUAAACAGAUUAUAGAUCAGAAUUUUGAUUCAUAUUCUGCUGCAGACUGCAAGAUUCCGUCAGUUCUGGGAUGAAGCUGCUAAGAGUCGGCAUUUGUUAGAAGUUGUGCCAGGUAUGUCAUAAUGUCUAUGUAAGUUGUAGCAUGUAAGUCUAUGGUUGGUGGUUUCAUUUAAUGAGUAUGCAAAGCAGUACAUGGUUACGAGUCUCAAACUGCUGGAAUCAUCUUAAUAAUCUGUCUUGCUGUUUUUCACAUUCUGUAUUCUGUUGCCUCUUCCCCAGCUUGCUUCUGGCUCUUAUAUUUUACUUCUGCAAUGUAAGCUUUUGGUUGUCUGUAUACUCCUGUUAAUGAGGACGCAACUGCAGGUUUUGAACAAGCAAUUCAAGCAUAUGCAAUUCAUGUCCUCUCCUUGACUUACCAAAAAGUUCCAAGGUCUGUCCUUGCUGAGGUAUGGUUCGCUUCUGAAAAUUGCUUUAUGAAUUUUCCAGUUGUUCUUUUAUUUCAGUAAUGUGACUGCAGAUUUUUGCAAGUUUUUCUUUGUAGAUGUUACACCAAAAAGAAUUACCUAGCUUAUGGCAUCUGGUGCUUAGAUAUUCCCUGAUCCCUGUUAAAGUUUGUCUUGGAUUCAAAUUCCACCACAUGCAUUAUUGCUUUUGCAUCGGUGGUAGAUUUGGUGUUUAAUCUUGUGUUUUAAAACUUCACUUGUUGUUUCGCAAUUCUGCUCUCUCUCUCUCUCUCUCUCUCUCUCUCUCUCAUGGACAUACAUUUCAUGCUUACACCAUAUGAAACGUUUUAUUUGAGUUUAAUCAUAAAAUACUCGUCUGUACUUUUGCCUUGGUAUCAUACAGGCCAUCAACAUAGAAGGUCUGUCUUUGGACAAGUUUGUUGAGCACCAUACAGCAAACUCUGGUUGGGUUGUAGAGAAGGGCCAUGUUAAGAGCCCACUCAUUACACUUCCAAGCAAUGAGUUCAACCGUCCAGAGCUUAAGAAAAAUACUGCAGACGGUGUACCAUUCGAGCAUGUCGCCCGUAUCUUCCCCAUUCUUGGCUAAGUAUUACAGUUCAAUGGGAAGGAAAAUAUCUCAAAAAUGUUGUUUGUUCUAACGGAAUUCUGGUGAUUAAGAUGAAAUGAGUUGUAAAAACAGUUUUGCCCUAUAUUUUAGAUGCUUGAAUUCUUCUUUUGGAGAAAUUUUUAGUUGUUGCCACAUUUCAAACAUUGGUUAAUAAUCUUUAGGGUCUCUUUUUUAUAUUAGGUUUGACAUGUUUGCACUGAUAGAAUCUUAAAAUCCAGGACGACAUAGGCACGGCACCCCCAUUACAGAAUUAUACUUUCUAAUGUUCAAUUAUACUCUCUUGUUUUAAGUUCGAAUUACCCAUCGAUCACACUCUAUCCGAUAAUCUGAAUAGCUUAAAAGAAGAGAAUUAAUUUUUAUCAAACUAAAAUCAAUACAUUAUGUUAAAUCAUCACACUAUGUUGAAUUUUAAACUUAGAUAUAGUCAUAGAGAAAUUUAACAUGUUAUGAAGGAUAAAUUUAAUAAUUUUCCAAAAGAAGAUUUAAACAACUACCUCACAAUUUCCCAACAAACAGUUUUACAUAAAAUAUGGCAAAUAACAAUCUACAAGGCAAACAUGCAUGCCAACUAAAUACAAACUAAACUCACAAAUGUCUAAUUUUUUCUUACCCACUGCCAUCUUUAUUGAUAAAAGAUUGAUGCUAGUCUACCACACAGUACUCCUUGGGGUGUUCUCAGUUGUAAGUCAGCUGUGGAUCGCAAUCCAUAGCAUCGAGAAGCCUACAAGGUCAAUCCUUCACACUUUUGAUGGGGAUACAUUUCAACCCAGGCAGCCAAGGAGGCCGACUGAUCUGGCAACCCAAGCAAGUCGCUGAAAAGAAUUGAGCAGAAAGAGUCGCAUAGUGCCAUCCAAUAGAAUAUUGUUUUCGCUGGUUUAACGCUAGAAUGGUACCAAUCAUAACUAAAUUCUUCAGAUGCCUAUCAAACACACAUACGAGAAACAAAACCUUCACACAGACUAAGAAUGCCUACCUUUAGCAGUGUUUGGCCAAAAAGAUUUACCAUUAUUUUUUUGCCCGUCUUGAAAUUUCUUCACCUUGGCUGAUCUUUUCUUAUGCUCCUUCGGAACCGAAGUAAAAUUUUAAGUCGAAACCACAAAAUCAAAACAUAAACUGUCCUACCAAAAGUUUAUUUAAGAGCUUAUUCGCACGAUAAAUUUUGAUAGAUUCAAAAAUAAAUGGACAAAACAAAUCAAUGGCCUAAAACUGCAAGAGACAGGAGCUCCAAUGAGUUGGAUCAUAUUUACACCACUGCAACUAAGAACCGGAGGAUUAGUUGUUGAAGAAAAUAACUACAACGAAGUUGAUGAGAAAGAGCUCCAAAAGAAUCUUUAAAAUUGUUGAUGGCUAUUUACUCGGUGUACGCUAAUGUAUCAGGCUCCGACCGAAGUUUAGACGAUCGAAUUCAUUCUGCAAAUCAGACGCAUGGGCAGAGAGGAAUAAUUUCCAGAAGCUCGUCAAACAAAAGAAUGCAGGCACAACAGCUCUUUUACUCGUUUCUUCAACUCAUUUUAGACCUGCCACUGACACCUCAACUCUGCCCCCACAAACAGCUCUUCACCCACCCCCUCCAUUCUUCCCUUUCCUCUAUCAUAAACCCAGUGACCAGUGCCUCCCUCCAUUCUUCCCUUUCCUCUUAUCAUAAACCCCAGUGACCAGUGCCUCUUUUAAGUAUAUCUGCAAAAUGCAUACAUCCAUGCAUGAAAACUCAACAAGAACCUCAGUGACAGAGAGUUUCUCCAUACGUCACCCAAUGUACAAAACAAUCUGAAAAUUCCUCAUGAACCUCACUACCAUAGCUAUCAUCAUAGCACAACUCAGUUCCAGUCUGGUCCCUACCCUGCACAGAGAACAAAGUUUCCAUUAGAAAUCAAAGGUAAAGUAACCAUUUUCUAGAAUUUAUAUGCCAUUUAUUAUAAGAGUUGACAAAUUAGAGAGGUAUUGUUAAUAGAUGGCAACGUAUUUAGCACAGAUGAUUCUUUGAAUCAUUUGCAACAUUAGGAUGAUACUGAUCAUUGAGUCGAGUAGAAAACCUAAUUUAUUCAACCUGCAUAACACAACCGUUGAAAGAAUGUCUUUUCUAUUUCAAAUCUCAUCUCUGCAUCUUUAGAAGAUAUAUGUCUCGAAAAAGUUUUUCCAUAGGUCUACGAGAUAGCCAGAUGAAUCUUAAUUCUAAAAGAAGUUUUGACAUCAAUUUGUUCACUGAACAAAUUCCCGCCACCACCCUGGGAAAAAAGAAUAGAAGGGGUAGAGAAGGAAAAAUGAAUUUGUUAUGAAGCCAGCUGUGGCAGUAGUUCACAGUAAAUCCGCAUGUAGCAUAAGCAGUUUCACAAGCCCAUGACUGGCAACACAAUCCUUGUAUCUAGUGGAUCAAUUUUUAAAGUAGGGUACGUGCAGAUAAAGCAAUUGCAUUAUUAUCUAAUUGAGGUGUUUUGAUUAUAGUAACCAAGUUACACAUUUGAAAUCCUAUAAACUUUUUUGCAUUCACGUCUUGAAAUAAUUUUUUAGUUCAUUGAGCAAGCUAAUUGCAAAGAGAGCAACGAAUACCAACCUUCAUGCUAGAUCCGCACUCACUGAUUGCUGGGGUUGCUUCCCCUGCCAAAUCACUGACAACAUUAUCUGAUGAAAGUCCAGCAAUUGGAGAUGUAAGCAGUGACCUACAACCAUGGAAAUUCAGUGAGUCUCCCAACAAAGAGAACAAAAGAAGAAAAGAAUGAACUUCUCACAAUAGAAGGCAAUCCAAGUUUUGUUGGAGACUGAUGUGUCAUUUGCGUUGACAAAAUAAUUCAAUCUCGAGCCUUCAGCUUUUUCAAGACCCAUAAAACUCUCAAUUGGCAAAUGAAGAAAAACCAUUCAAUCAAAUUUGAUUUUUUUUUUGGGCAAUCUUACCAUGACAAUCAAAUAUGAGAAAGAUUAUAACAAAUAACAAUAGGAGUAAAUGAUGCAUGUCAACUUCUUCGUGUUGAUCAGUAGAAUUAGUGAAGUUGCUGGAAAAGCAUCAGAAGUAGUGGACUUCAGAAAGUCAUUCAAUAUGAGGUUGGAGAAGACAAUAGAAUGGGGAUUUAAUAAGAUAUGCUGUGGUAAUGAAUGAUGUAUUUACCCUCCAGUAUUGAUUGUAUUAAGGCAAACUAGUUAAAAGCGUGAAAGAAGGCCAAAAAGGGAGGAUGGUCCAGCAAUCAAUCCUUAGGUGGAAGAUUCAUGAUUGGAAGUAGACAGCAGAAAAUUUCUACGACCAUAAUAAAAGAGGUAAGCUCUUCAGCGGAAUGGGAUAGAGUAACAAACUUAUUGAGUUCUUUAUAGCUACACAUUCAAAGAGAAACGACUAAUAAAUUCUAGGAGGUACAAACUGAAUACAUGAUAUAUAGACAGGAAGCUCGGCAAGUGAUAAACUGAGGAAGAGAAAAUGUCUAUGCAAGUUAGUCUCCUUGUUCUCGUUCAUUGUUGGUUACGUGAGGAUUGAUUCCUGUGAUGUAUAAGCAAUAUCUUCCUACCACAGGUAUGAAAAACAUAGAACAAUGAAGAUUUUCUGAUGUCUCAAGAAGUCUAUCAACUUUUCAGCACAUGCGAACUGACUCUUCCCUCAAGAAGAGAAGGAUAGAUGAAUGUAGUAGUCAGUCUUGUUUGAGGAAAAGAAAAGAUGAGAAACCACAAGUUUCAAUGCAGAACUAUCAUUCUAGAAUUCUUAGGAGCUUCAAAUUUGGAACUGUGCUAUUAGGUGACCUAUGCCAUAAAUUUAUGUGCCAACUUUUAUACAACUCAAUUGUUCUACAAAUACAAGAGUUAACUUACACAUCUUGCCUCUUUGCAAUAACUAUGGGACAAUAUAGACUGUUCUCCACUGAAGUAAUAACUUAUUGCCUUGUAAGCAAAAUCAAAUUUUCAUGGAAAAAAAAAAAAGAACAGUAACUAUUGUUAAUCUAUUCUUCAACAGCUUCAGCUAAGCCCGGCAAGGAUUAAUCAAAGAAAACUAACUACCAUGAUGGUGUAAUAUCACUUUAUCUUUUCUUGAUCCUUACUCCAGAAUAAACAACAUAAGCUUGAACAAAAGAGAGGUUCCAAGAAAUUCUGCAAACUAAAAGUUCAAAACAUAUUAAUCACUCUAAUAAUUUAUCUAUAUAUUAGCAAUGCAUCAAAAAUAGUCCUAAAAUCACCUCUCCAAUAUCUCUUCUUCACAUGAAUUUCCAGAGGAAGAUAGCCAAUCCAAAUCAACAAAAUUUGAACAGUCAUAAGAAUCUCCAUUUUCAUUUUCCUGACAUCUGUCUCUUGGCAAAUCUUCGAAAAGUUCCCUCACAGGCAUUGAGGGUGUAUACCUGCAAAAGAACACCCAAAGAAGACAGAUUGAAUCACAACUCCAUGCAAAUGUGGUGGAUAGAGAGGUGGCGGGAGGGGGAGAGAGAGGAGAGUGAGUUGAGGCAAAUGUGGUGGAUGAGACAUGCCAAAAUUCUUUUUGACAUGUGGAGUCACUAAAUCAAUAGGAAAAGAAGAACAUAUAAUAAUUCUGUCUUCUGUGGGGGGCAACAAGAAAAAGAAAAAUUGAUCUAUUACUUGUGAAAAUAAGAGUACUCAUAAGCUACCAAUAUUCUGGAUAGCAGGCAAUGAAAUAUUGAAUAAAAGACCUGCCAUAUCUCAAAGUAAAUAGAAAACAAUGUCAAUAUUUGUAACAACACAACAACAAAGUUCAACACAGCCUUCGGCUCAUGAAAGAAUCCUUUUGGUCUCAAAAGAUGAUAAGAAAGACACAGGUUUAAAAAAUUACUGAAGUUUAGCAAACAAAGGUGCACCUCAAAUGUGAUAACUCGUUUUCACAAGUUGGUAUAUUGGGUGUUGACUCAGAGAGAAUAUUGCUCCCUCCUUCAGGUGUAUCAGGCAAAGAAUUAGAAAUAUCUUUGCUCAUGUUAGAGGUGGAUACAGGAGUGUGAGUUUCUCGAAGAAUGUUUCCAUCUGAUAAAGAUCUUUUAAACAGUGACCUGCAGACGCAAAAGAUGAGAUUAUAACCUAAAGUGUCGUUGAAGCAACCAAUCACAAAAAUGUACCCAAGGGAAGCUUGUGCGCAGAAAAAAGGCAUCACAUUCUUGGGCAUUAAGCAUUUAUAAUCCAUACAGCCAAGAGACAGUUGGAAUUCAAUGCAACAAUUUUCUUAUCUUUCAUAGAAUAAGUUGCAGUUCAAAAGUCCACAAUAAUCACAGCAGAAUAUGUCCCAAUAUGGUCAUACCUUCCAUUUUUAUCAAUAUUUGAUUGCCCAUUCCUACUUUCCCUGUAAAGCUGGUCAGAAUUCAGCUCCCAGACUUCAGGUUUGCCUGGUUGAGGCUGAAAAUGCCCUAAGAAUCUGCAAAAUACCAUAUUCUGAAAUGAAUGGGACUAGAGGUCGAAAUAGAAAAGACAUCACAAUGUGGUAUUUCAGAUAACUCUUUAACCUGCCUCCAACGAUCAUCAUCUCCUCCCACUUGGAUUUAACUCCAAGAAAGUGCAUAUGAUAUAACUGACUAUUAAGAGGGGAAGACAAAAAUGGAAAGAAUCUAACAUGUAAAUGAAAUGGACUUACACAUUAAUGGCAUUUUGUUUUUCUGCGUCCAUGUAAGCAUUGCUGUAAUACCGUUGUAGAGUCCUGAAAAACUCUUGGGACUGGGUGGCUGCCUUCCAUUGACCUCUUCGCUGAGAGAAAAUCUACGUAAAACCAAGCAUUUCAAUGUACAGCUCAUAAAAAAACUAAUUACUCCUGAAAUCAUUACUCAAAAUCAGAAGACGAGAUUGAAAUGUGGACUUCUUCCUCCUAAAUGUAACAAAUACGCCAAAAAAAAAACACUAAGGAUACUGUGCCUGUGUGUUUAUUGGGCAAUAGUCCAAAGGGCAGAACUAUCACUGUUUCUGUCCCAUAUGAUACAAUUAUCAAACUUCACAUCUAAAAAGAGAAAGGGUUUGAAAGCUCUUGUGACACAGUCCAUAACAUUCCGUCAUCGUAAUAACGGGUUGCUAUUGCUGGUUGUUUCUUCUUGAGUAGCAGGUAAAUGUGAAACAGCAAAAGUCUCAAGUCACCCUAGUAAUAAGUGAUCUCCAGUAGAACCACACAUCAUCCUACCUUAUUGUGAGCAGCUGAGCCACCAUAUUGAUGAGCAAGUGUAUCACCCAUUCUUUCAUAGAAGCCCAUCAAUUCAUCAGCCAAGGGAUCAUCAAGGUCUAUUUUUGUGGAAUUUAUUAUUCCCAGAGCUCGCAGUUGAUGUCCCAAAGCAGCCAAUCCGUAUGCAUAUUGUGCCACAUUAGUACGAUCCAAACAAUCUAUGCAGUUUGUCCUGAGCACUCCCUUUUGAAGAAUUGGCGGCUUACCAAAACCACCACCAUUAGCCACAUUGUUCCCGGUACAUAAUCUUCUGUC